rnacentral:rRNA from 1 species
UUGCCCUAGUAACGGCGAGUGAAGCGGCAACAGCUCAAAUUUGAAAUCUGGCCUCUGGCCCGAGUUGUAAUUUGUAGAGGAUGCUUUUGGUGAGGUGCCUUCCGAGUUCCCUGGAACGGGACGCCAUAGAGGGUGAGAGCCCCGUCUGGUUGGACACCGAGCCUCUGUAAAGCUCCUUCGACGAGUCGAGUAGUUUGGGAAUGCUGCUCUAAAUGGGAGGUAUAUGUCUUCUAAAGCUAAAUACCGGCCAGAGACCGAUAGCGCACAAGUAGAGUGAUCGAAAGAUGAAAAGCACUUUGAAAAGAGGGUUAAACAGUACGUGAAAUUGUUGAAAGGGAAGCGCUUGUGACCAGACUUGGGCUUGGUCAAUCAUCCAGUGUUCUUCACUGGUGCACUUGGCCGGCCUAGGCCAGCAUCAGUUCGGUGCGGGGGAUAAAGGCCUCGGGAAUGUGGCUCCCUCGGGAGUGUUAUAGCCCGUGGCGCAAUACCCUGCGCCGGACUGAGGUUCGCGCAUCUGCAUGGAUGCUGGCGUAAUGGUCAUCAGCGACCCGUCUUGAAACACGGACCAAGGAGUCGUCUUCGUAUGCGAGUGUUCGGGUGUCAAACCCCUACGCGUAAUGAAAGUGAACGCAGGUGAGAGCUUCGGCGCAUCAUCGACCGAUCCUGAUGUU